UGCCAGCAUCCUCGGUAAUACGAAGGGGGCGAGCGUUGUUCGGAAUUACUGGGCGUAAAGCGUACGCAGGCGGCGCAGUAGGUCGGGUGUGAAAUCCCAGGGCUCAACCCUGGAACUGCAUCCGAAACCCCUGUGCUUGAGAGCGGGAGAGGUGAGCGGAAUUCCUGGUGUAGAGGUGAAAUUCGUAGAUAUCAGGAGGAACACCAGCGGCGAAAGCGGCUCACUGGCCCGAUUCUGGCGCUCAUGUACGAAAGCGUGGGGAGCAAACAGGAUUAGAUA
rnacentral:rRNA from 1 species